rnacentral:misc_RNA from 1 species
UGGUUCUGGCAUNGAUGAAGAACGCAGCGAAAUGCGAUAAGUAAUGUGAAUUGCAGAAUUCAGUGAAUCAUCGAAUCUUUGAACGCACAUUGCACCCCUUGGUACUCUGGGGGGUAUGCCUGUCCGAGCGUCAUUACAACCCUCAAGCACUGCUUGGCAUCUGGGCCACAUCCACCGCGUGGGUAGACCCAAAAAUCAUAGAGAGUGAUAAACAAGCCUCUUGCGCAGUAAGACAUCUUGGUCCCGCCUGGGGUCUGUGCAUCACUCGGUCUGUGUGCCCCGGGCACGCACAUGUCAAAUAGUUGACCUCGGAUCAGGUAGGGAUACCCGCUGA